UAAUCCUCACACAAUAUUUAAAAUACCGUAAUAGUCAGUUUGCUUUUGUUAGCCAUAAUAACUGAUAUUUUCACAUAUAAUUUAUAAAUUUAUAUAAUUAAUUUAAAAAUUUUGAAAAUAUCGACAAAAGAAUUGUUAUUAUUGUUAUGUACUUUUAAAUUGAUUUUUAGAAACGAAAUAAGCUGAUUGAAAUUUGUGUAAUUUAAUUCUUAAACGGGCCAACGUUGAAACAAAGGGGAAAACUAAAAGAUGUAGUCGUACCGUGUAGAUAAUGAAUGAUAUGACGUUAUUUGUUCUUAAAAAAAAUGUUUUAUUUCUAUUCUAUGAAGUGUUUACGUGGGCGUUAUCUACGUGUACCACUGCUUGGUUAAUGAUAUCGAUACUUUAAAAAAAUUUAUAUAUUUUUUGAAGGUAUUUUAAUUGCAGCGAAACUGUUCGAAACACAGUGUGAUGCACAAAGGAACACCACGUGCUGUAACCAAUUGCGGUUCUUUUUUGUUGAACAAAGUCGGCACCUUUUUCUGCUUCAACCGAAAAAUGUUUUCCGACAUCUUCGUACCUAACCGAAUCUGGAACACCCAAUUGAACGUUGGUUUUCUGAAUUUUUUUUUUACAUUUAUAUUUUUCUGUUCCGAGCACACGCGUAACAGAAGGUUCAAUAGCUAGGAGUAAGACCAGGGUGAAAAGAAAAUUCUAGAAAAAU
rnacentral:lncRNA from 1 species